CUCUAGAUUUUCCGGUUGAUCCUGCCGGACCUACUGCUAUCGGGGUGGGACUAAAACAUGCGAGUUGAACGUUUCACAGCUAUGAGUGAAACGUGGCAUACGGCUCAGUAACACGUGGCUAACCUGACCUUAAGACAGAGAUAACCCCGGGAAACUGGGGCUAAUACCUGAUAGGCGAGAAUUUCUGGAACGGGUUCUCGUCCAAAAGGUAUUAUGGUCAUGCUCCGUAAUGUCGCUUAAGGAUGGGGCCGCGCCCGAUCAGGUAGUUGGUGAGGUAAUGGCUCACCAAGCCUGUAACCGGUACGGGCCGUGGGAGCGGAAGCCCGGAGAUGGGUACUUAGACAAGGGCCCAGGCCCUACGGGGCGCAGCAGUUGCGAAAACUCCGCAAUGCACGAAAGUGUGACGGGGCUACCCCGAGUGCCAUCCGCUGAGGAUGGCUUUUCUCUGCUGUAAGGAUGCAGAAGAAUAAGGAGAGGGCAAGUCUGGUGUCAGCCGCCGCGGUAAUACCAGCUCUCCGAGUGGUAGGGAUGAUUAUUGGGCUUAAAGCGUUCGUAGCCUGCUCGACAAGUCUUUCGUUAAAUCCACCGAUUCAAUCGUUGGACUGCGGGAGAUACUGUUAAGCUAGGGGGCGGGGGAAGCCGA
rnacentral:rRNA from 1 species